UACGUAGGGGGCAAGCGUUGUCCGGAUUUACUGGGCGUAAAGCGCGUGUAGGCGGGACGGCAAGUCGGACGUGAAAGGCUGCGGCUCAACCGCAGACGGCCGUUCGAAACUGCCGUUCUUGAGGGCCGAAGAGGAGAGUGGAAUUCCCGGUGUAGCGGUGAAAUGCGUAGAGAUCGGGAGGAACACCAGAGGCGAAGGCGGCGACCUGGACAGGUACUGACACUCAACUACGAAAGCGUGGGGAGCAAACAGGG
rnacentral:rRNA from 1 species